rnacentral:lncRNA from 1 species
AGCCACACUCCCGACCACAGGACGGGGAGGCUGUGACCUCCAUGCUUGGUGAAAGGCAACCAAGGGCUACCUGCAAAUGUGGAGAUGGGUGGAGGAGGACAGGAAGGGGAGAUAUAUAGGUGAACUGAGGGAAGAGGCUGUAGGCAUCCUUCCUGAGAGCUGGUACACUACAACAGAAUGUAAGGUCACAAGAAAGGCUGGAAAUGAGAGGAGGUCAUUCAGCCUGGAAACAGAAUACAAGACGAAACUACAUGAAAGUCAUUUUAAAUCUAAGACAGGAGGCAUUUCUUUGUACAAAUGGAUGUGGA